CGGAGGGUGCAAGCGUUAUCCGGAUUCACUGGGUUUAAAGGGUGCGUAGGUGGGUUGGUGAGUCAGUGGUGAAAUCUCCGUGCUUAACAUGGAAACUGCCAUUGAUACUACUAGUCUUGAAUUUUCUGGAGGUAAGCGGAAUAUGUCAUGUAGCGGUGAAAUGCUUAGAUAUGACAUAGAACACCAAUUGCGAAGGCAGCUUGCUACAGGGAUAUUGACACUGAGGCACGAAAGCGUGGGGAUCAAACAGGAUUAGAUACCCUGGUAGUCCACGCCCUAAACGAUGGAUACUCGACAUUUGCGAUACACAGUAAGUGUCUGAGCGAAAGCAUUAAGUAUCCCACCUGGGAAGUACGACCGCAAGGUUG
rnacentral:rRNA from 1 species